rnacentral:rRNA from 1 species
UACAGAGACUGCAAGCGUUAUUCGGAUUCACUGGGCGUAAAGGGUGCGCAGGCGGUCGGGUGUGUCAGAUGUGAAAUCCCGAGGCUCAACCUCGGAACUGCGUCUGAAACUACUCGACUAGAGUACUGGAGAGGGUAACGGAAUUCACGGUGGAGCAGUGAAAUGCGUAGAUAUCGUGAGGAACACCAGAGGCGAAGGCGGUUACCUGGACAGUUACUGACGCUCAGGCACGAAAGCAUGGGGAGCAAAAGGG